AAUGUGGCUCAGUGGUUAAGGCGAUGGAUUGUUAAUGAAAAAAGUAAACAUGCAGCAAGCAUCCAUUGCACUUUGUGCGCGUAGGUUCGAAUCCUAUCAUUG
rnacentral:ncRNA from 14 species